rnacentral:rRNA from 1 species
GUCGAGCGGAUGACAGGAGCUUGCUCCUGAAUUCAGCGGCGGACGGGUGAGUAAUGCCUAGGAAUCUGCCUGGUAGUGGGGGACAACGUUUCGAAAGGAACGCUAAUACCGCAUACGUCCUACGGGAGAAAGCAGGGGACCUUCGGGCCUUGCGCUAUCAGAUGAGCCUAGGUCGGAUUAGCUAGUUGGUGAGGUAAUGGCUCACCAAGGCGACGAUCCGUAACUGGUCUGAGAGGAUGAUCAGUCACACUGGAACUGAGACACGGUCCAGACUCCUACGGGAGGCAGCAGUGGGGAAUAUUGGACAAUGGGCGAAAGCCUGAUCCAGCCAUGCCGCGUGUGUGAAGAAGGUCUUCGGAUUGUAAAGCACUUUAAGUUGGGAGGAAGGGCAUUAACCUAAUACGUUAGUGUUUUGACGUUACCGACAGAAUAAGCACCGGCUAACUCUGUGCCAGCAGCCGCGGUAAUACAGAGGGUGCAAGCGUUAAUCGGAAUUACUGGGCGUAAAGCGCGCGUAGGUGGUUUGUUAAGUUGGAUGUGAAAGCCCCGGGCUCAACCUGGGAACUGCAUUCAAAACUGACAAGCUAGAGUAUGGUAGAGGGUGGUGGAAUUUCCUGUGUAGCGGUGAAAUGCGUAGAUAUAGGAA